rnacentral:lncRNA from 1 species
CAGUGGAUUCUUCUAUUGUUGACAACUUUUGGAAGAAUCUUGGGCAUGUUAAAUUUAGCAUUUACGGUUGAUGAUUCCUUGGUUGGUCUUAGACUUGGAAUGUUUUAACAUGGAUCUCUUAUUUGUUGGAAUGAUAUGGGAGAAAGAAAAGAAAAAUGAUUAUAGAAUAUUAAAAGUAUUUGAUACUAAAGAUUUCUCCUAUUUUUGUUAAACCAAUUAUGAUCUCUAUGUAGAGUCAAGAGAAAUUAAUUUCUUUGGGAUAUAAUUACGGCAUUUUAAUCCAAGGUUGGGAGUUUGGAAUUCUUUUGAAGGAGAUCAAAAGAACUUACUAUGUGUGGUAAAUAAGAAGGAUCAAGUUUUGAGAUGCUGUGAUUUUUGUAUGUCAAAAUCUUAAGAGUGGUACUCCAAGAGGGAGACUACUUGAGAUCUCAGGGAUGAUAUAACGGAUGCAAUUUUUUAAAGUUUGAGGCUUCAAGUAAGUCAAUUUCGAGGACGAAAUUUUUUUAAGGGGGAGAGUAUGUAAUACCCCAUGAAUGGAUAGAGUUAAUUCCUACUCAUAGUGAUAUUGGCUCAACAGUUCUAACCCAUUGAGUUUGAGGUAAAUUCUGUUGGAAGGAAAAUCAAUGUAGAUUUUCUAAUUAAAUUGCAAAGAGAAUACAAGAAUUAUCCCCUUUAAAUUAAACCUAGAUAUUUUGGAUUCUAAAAAGGUUGUGGAGAUCACAUAGUGACCUUAAACUUGACUAAAGGAUCGGGGGUUAGUUAUGGUAAGUACACUCUAUAUAAAUCGAGAACAAAAAGAUCUAGAGGUUUUGCUCUAGUUCUACUUGGAAAUUUGAAAUUUGGAGUUUCUUAGUCUCAAUGCAAAGUGAUACUUUAGUCAGAAAUCAUUUUAUGACUUUAGAGAAUUAAAUGAAUUAAAUCAGAGUGUGCAGCGGAAGUGUGGUGGUUUGACUUAUUUUGAAACUGGUGAAGAUCAUUAAUAUUUGAUCUAAAAGGCAUUACGAUGGAAUACUUGAGUUAGCUUCAGGAGAAUGUUGUUGAUUCUAUGGAUGAUCUAAAGGUAGCUAUGUAAUUUUCAUC